AAUACGGACUGAACUGUGUGUCCCUGGAAUUACAUACAAGAGUCCUUCUGUGGGAACUUUGUUUAGUGCUUAUUUCACAGAAUGCGACCUAAUGCAGAGACAGUCUGAGCUUAAUUCCCUUUGUUUUGCUUGUUUUGCAGUGUGUGCAAGUGAAAAGCCUUCUCGGAUAAUUAAGACUGUGCCUGAAAUCACAGUUACAGUUUGCUGAUUGAAAGAUUAUAAAGGAAACUCAGGUCUAACGGACAGAGCCAUCCCCAGAGGACAGCUCAUGGCACAUCUCUCUGUUCCCUGCUCUGAGUCACCUUUUGCAGAAACCAGCUGCUCUCCAUUGAGUGCCCAGGAAGUCUAAGAGAAGCCUUUAAAGGCAAAUCACCUGAAUGCUCUCACAGGGUCAUCAGUAGUACUGCCUCCAGGACCUGCCAACUGCUCCUCUCCAGGAGAACUGAUGUCCUCACCCAGACUCAGCAUCAGCCAUACACCUAUCAGAACAUCUCACAGCACAGCUGGAAAAACCAGCCGUGCUGGCUGUGCUCACUGCUACUACCACUCCCCACCAGCUCGGAGCUACACCAGCGCACCACAACCAGGCUCGGACAGGGUAAUUAC